CAGAGCGUAGCUAAACAAGCAUAGCGUCUCCCUUACACUGAGAAGGCGCCCGUGCGAAUCGGGCCGCACUGA
rnacentral:tRNA from 1 species